rnacentral:rRNA from 1 species
AGAUUGAACGCUGGCGGCAGGCCUAACACAUGCAAGUCGAGCGGUAGAGAGGUGCUUGCAUCUCUUGAGAGCGGCGGACGGGUGAGUAAUGCCUAGGAAUCUGCCUAGUGGUGGGGGAUAACGUUCGGAAACGGACGCUAAUACCGCAUACGUCCUACGGGAGAAAGCGGGGGACCUUCGGGCCUCGCGCCAUUAGAUGAGCCUAGGUCGGAUUAGCUAGUUGGUGAGGUAAUGGCUCACCAAGGCGACGAUCCGUAACUGGUCUGAGAGGAUGAUCAGUCACACUGGAACUGAGACACGGUCCAGACUCCUACGGGAGGCAGCAGUGGGAAAUAUUGGACAAUGGGCGAAAGCCUGAUCCAGCCAUGCCGCGUGUGUGAAGAAGGUCUUCGGAUUGUAAAGCACUUUAAGUUGGAGGAAGGUGUAAACUUUAAUACGUUGACAACGUUUGACGUUUACCGACAGAAUAGGCACCGGCUAACUUCGUGCCAGCAGCCGUACG